GGAUGUGGUACUUGAGGGUGUUUUGUUUUUCUUAUUCUAAUAAGGUUCCAUUUAACAUUUUCUAGGCUGUUUAUUAUAACCCUAGUAAUGACCUUUUGAAGGAGUAAGCUAAGAAUACUAAAGGUUCCUUAAGAAUUUAGACUUUAAGAUCAGGAAACGCUUUUCCUUGAAAAACCGACCUAUGCAUAAUAGAAUGUGGUCAAUAAGUUGGCCUACAUUUCUCGGUUCAGUCUUUUAAAUUGGGCACACAUUAGGGAUUGCUUUGGGAUUUUUACACAGGCUGAACUGUAUGUGGAUGUUUCUUUGGACCUAGAGCUCCACACAGUGAAGAGAGCGGAGAAGAAGUCGGUAAAUUGAGAGCGAGAGCGAAUGCUAUCUGAUUUCAGAGAUCAAAAAAGUGCUAACAGGUUCAGUUCAGUCAGUACUUUUGAAUUUUCCA